rnacentral:tRNA from 1 species
GUGAGAUUAGUGUAAAGGUUAACACACUGGUUUGUGAAGCCAAAGAUACGAGUUCGAUUCUCCUAUCUCACC